UUGCCAUGAUGCGAACAACUUCUGAUCAUGUCUUGGAAUCUCUCCCAUGCCUCAUAUAAGGACUCUUGCUCAAAUUGAACAAAGUUGGCAAUGUCAGUUCGAAGUUU
rfam:Cicer arietinum chromosome Ca5, whole genome shotgun sequence.